CUCCGCUGUGAUGAUUCUCUGGUCUGACACAGAGCAGAGAGGUUAAAGUAACUGCAGCAGCAGCCUGUCAGGCAGAGAUCGCUGAGCUCUGCUAACCAGGACCAGAGGGGAGUACGAGGAUGUGACAUUUAUGGGGAAGGCAGCUCAAGCAUCAAACAUGUGGCUCGAGGGCCACAGCUGGAACAGGACAGUCUGGGCUACUGGAAGGUUUGCAGAGAGGCAAAAUUCUUUCAUUUAUUGAGAUUCUCAGUAAAUCUGAGGUGUUUGUCAUGGUCUAAAUUAGAAACUGGUAAAUGUUUUGUUUACUUUAAAAACUCCACUUUGACUGGUCCUGCACAUGUGAUAGGACACACUGAUGAGACUGCACAUGUUUUAAAGCUACUGCUGCCUGUUGGUGUGUUUUGAGGUGGAUACUUCAGUAAAUCUGAUUAUUUAUAAUAGAAUAAGCUACAGAACUGUUUUAUCAGUCUGGUCCACUUGAAAGACUUGAAGUUUGACCCUGAAUCAGGGGGAGGCUCAGAUCUGGAAUAUCUGUAGGAUGAUAAAGGAGGUGAUGUCACGAAAGCCACAAAUACUUUGGUGCUCUUAAACAAUGAAGUGACUGAGUUAGCUGUUAGCUUGGACCGUCUUGAUUAGUACAGACAAGCUGGAAAUGCAGCUUUACUAAAGCUCAAAACCAGGCUGAGAAAAAUAAAUAUAUAAAAAAGAAAAGACAAAACAAAGGUGAAAGACAAAACUACACACAGCACUGAAAGCCUGACAGACAGAAUCAGAUGGAGGAUAAUGAGACCAGAGCUACAAGAGAAGGAAAGAAACUGCAGAUACUAGAAGCAGUGGCUCUGCACCUUUAAUAUGAAUCAUUUUCAUUCUCAGUGACUGAGUGAUGUUUGUUUUCUGAAAGAGAGAGGAGACUCUUCUCUUCUACUAAAUAAAGGUGGAACGGAGUCCAGGCAGCUCAGACUGACGGACACAGACUGAGAAGCUGCAAGCGUGAUAAAAGUUUCAGGAGGAGUCACCAAACCCCAACAUAGGAUAGAAAACCUGAGUAAACUUUUAAGAUGGAGACACGAAGCAUGAAGACGCAGCUCUGUGGUUUCAGGUCGGAGCGUCUUCCUCCUCAGCAGGAAGUUGGUGGAUAUUUAUAAUCUGUGGUUUUAUGUAGAAGCUGCUGCUGCUGAGCAUGUUGGUGCUUCUUUGAUGGAGCUUUCACAGCAUUUACUCAGACUGAUGAGGACGGUUUCUGGUGUUUGGUCAGGGUUUCCGUACUACGGUUGUUGAAUCAUGCAUGUAAAAACAUUACUGUUGCUGACAUCACCACCACUCACAUGACAUCACAUCCUGUCAACCUGUUUUCACCUCCUAACCGCUGCACUGAAAACAAGUAGGAUCCUUUUAUUGACACAGCAGCAGAGCUCAGGCCUGUGUUUGAGUGCAAUGGGUUAAAGAGGUGUUCCUAUUGAAGUGGCACCUCCCACACACCUUUGACUGUCACUGUAAAUACAGAUUCAGAUUUUGUCUAC